AGUUUGAUCCUGGCUCAGAACGAACGCUGGCGGCGCGCCUAAUACAUGCAAGUCGAGCGAGAAGACGUAGCAAUACGUUUGUAAAGCGGCGAACGGGUGAGGAAUACAUGGGUAACCUACCCUCGAGUGGGGAAUAACUAGCCGAAAGGUUAGCUAAUACCGCGUACGCUCCUUGGACUUCGGUUCAGGGAGGAAAGCGAUACCGUGGGUAUCGCGCUCUUGGAUGGGCUCAUGUCCUAUCAGCUUGUUGGUGAGGUAACGGCUCACCAAGGCUUCGACGGGUAGCUGGUCUGAGAGGACGAUCAGCCACACUGGCACUGCGACACGGGCCAGACUCCUACGGGAGGCAGCAGUAAGGAAUAUUGCGCAAUGGGCGAAAGCCUGACGCAGCGACGCCGCGUGGGGGAUGAAGGUCUUCGGAUUGUAAACCCCUUUCGGGAGGGAAGAUGGAAUGGGGUAACCCAUUCGGACGGUACCUCCAGAAGCAGCCACGGCUAACUUCGUGCCAGCAGCCGCGGUAAUACGAAGGUGGCAAGCGUUGUUCGGAUUUACUGGGCGUACAGGGAGCGUAGGCGGUUCGGUAAGCCCUCUGUGAAAUCUCCAGGCUUAACCUGGAACAGUCGGAGGGGACUGCCGGGCUAGAGGACGGGAGAGGAGCGCGGAAUUCCCGGUGUAGCGGUGAAAUGCGUAGAGAUCGGGAGGAAGGCCGGUGGCGAAGGCGGCGCUCUGGAACGUUUCUGACGCUGAGGCUCGAAAGCGUGGGGAGCAAACAGGAUUAGAUACCCUGGUAGUCCACGCCUUAAACUAUGAAUACUAAGUGUCGGCGGGUUACCGCCGGUGCCGCAGCUAACGCA
rnacentral:rRNA from 1 species